rnacentral:misc_RNA from 1 species
GUAUUGAUUGCGUGAUCGCAAAAACAAAAAAUACAUUCUACACUGCAUACAAAGUUUGUGUGAAAACGCAAGCCCCCCUCCGAACAAGCCGAAAGGGGGACCCACGCGGUGGUGCACAUAGGGGUGAGAUGGAUGGUGUGUGAGAGCACUCGGGCGUGCACGACAAAAAGUCAGCGACAGCCCUUGCGCCUCGGUUAUGCGAUAAUGAUCCUUCCGCAGGUUCACCUACGGAAA